CUUUCUGGAGUUUUUGAAAGGCGGCUCUCUCUCUCUCUCUCUGAAAUUCUUCCAAUUUCUAUUAUGUUUCAUUGUGAUUAUUCGAGAAAUUAAAGAAUUGUAUAACCCUUGUGUUGUAGACUUGAAAGAAAGGUUUCGGUCUAUUGUUUUUUACUGUGGUGCACUGGUUUAGCUGUGUUUGUUCUUGUCAAGUUUAGGGUUGAUUCUUGUAUUUGGUUCUUGAGAUCUUUGUGUGAUCUAUGAUUAGAACCUUAAGAGAAAGUCUGAUUGGUUCCUUUGUACAUUGAUCUAUUUGAAAGGUUGGUUUCACAUAGUGGAUUGGGCUGAUUCUGAGCCCC
rnacentral:lncRNA from 1 species